GCUGGUGUGGUUCAGUUGGUAGAGCAGUUGAUUCGUAAUCAACAGGUCACCGGUUCAAGUCCGGUCACCAGCUCCA
rnacentral:tRNA from 1 species